UGGAGAGCUUGCUUUCCAUGARAGUGGCGCACGGGUGCGUAACACGUAUGUAACCUACCUUCGUCAGGGGGAUAGCCUCUCGAAAGAGAGAUUAAGACCGCAUAACAUUGCGAUGUGGCAUCACAAAGCAAUCAAAUAUUUAUAGGACGAAGAUGGGCAUGCGGAACAUUAGCUAGUUGGUAAGGUAACGGCUUACCAAGGCUACGAUGUUUAGGGGAUCUGAGAGGAUGACCCCCCACACUGGUACUGAGACACGGACCAGACUCCUACGGGAGGCAGCAGUAAGGAAUAUUGGUCAAUGGGCGGAAGCCUGAACCAGCCAUGCCGCGUGCAGGAAGACGGCCCUACGGGUUGUAAACUGCUUUUGUACCGGAAUAAACCUUGAUUCGUGAAUCAAGCUGAAUGUACGGUAAGAAUAAGGAUCGGCUAACUCCGUGCCAGCAGCCGCGGUAAUACGGAGGAUCCAAGCGUUAUCCGGAUUUAUUGGGUUUAAAGGGUGCGUAGGUGGCUUUUUAAGUCAGGGGUGAAAGACGGCAGCUUAACUGUCGCAGUGCCCUUGAUACUGAAGAGCUUGAAUGAACUAGAGGUAGGCGGAAUGUGACAAGUAGCGGUGAAAUGCAUAGAUAUGUCACAGAACACCAAUUGCGAANGCAGCUUACUAUGGUUUGAUUGACACUGANGCACGAAAGCGUGGGGAUCAAACAGGAUUAGAUACCCUGGUAGUCCACGCCCUAAACGAUGAAUACUCGAUGUUGGCGAUAUACGGUCAGCGUCUAANCGAAAGCGUUAANUAUUCC
rnacentral:rRNA from 1 species